AACGAACGCUGGCGGCGCGCCUAAUACAUGCAAGUCGAACGAGAAGCUGUAGCAAUACAGUUGUACAGUGGCGAACGGGUGAGGAAUACAUGGGUGACCUACCCUCGAGUGGGGAAUAACCAGCCGAAAGGUUGGCUAAUACCGCGUACGUUUCCCAGUCUGCGGGUUGGGAAGGAAAGCGAUGCCGUGGGUAUCGCGCUCAAGGUUGGGCUCAUGUCCUAUCAGCUGUUGGUGGGGUAACGGCUCACCAAGGCAACGACGGGUAGCUGGUCUGAGAGGACGAUCAGCACACUGGCACUGCGACACGGGCCAGACUCCUACGGGAGGCAGCAGUAAGGAAUAUUGCGCAAUGGGCGAAAGCCUGACGCAGCGACGCCGCGUGGGGGAUGAAGGUCUUC
rnacentral:rRNA from 1 species